rnacentral:lncRNA from 1 species
CGUGGCCGAGUCUUGAGUCAUUUUAUUGAUUGAUUCAUUGAUGUUUUCUUGCUUGUCAUGAUUUAUAUGUGUUAUCGCGAUAAUGUCUUGAUAGUUAAUCGAUGGUGGUUCCGAUAAUUAUCUCGAUGGUAUGUUAUGUUUAUGACUUGCUUGUUUAACUUCUUGAAUCGAUAAAAAUGAAUGUGAUUUCUUGACUGAGCCAAGUGUGACAGGACGGCCG